rnacentral:rRNA from 1 species
UACGUAGGCAGCGAGCGUUGUUCGGAAUUACUGGGCGUAAAGAGUGUGUAGGCGGUGCUCCAAGUCUGUUGUGAAAUCUCCCGGCUCAACUGGGAGGGUGCGGCGGAAACUGGGGUGCUAGAGGAUGGGAGAGGUAAGCGGAAUUCCUGGUGUAGCGGUGAAAUGCGUAGAUAUCGGGAGGAACACCUGAGGCGAAGGCGGGCUACUGGGCCGAUACUGACGCUGAUGUGCGAAAGCCAGGGGAGCGAACGGG